GGGUGAGUAACACGUGGAUAACCUACCUAUAAGACUAGGAUAACUUCGGGAAACCGGAGCUAAUACCGGAUAAUAUUUUGAACCGCAUGGUUCAAAAGUGAAAGACGGUCUUGCUGUCACUUAUAGAUGGAUCCGCGCUGCAUUAGCUAGUUGGUAAGGUAACGGCUUACCAAGGCAACGAUGCAUAGCCGACCUGAGAGGGUGAUCGGCCACACUGGAACUGAGACACGGUCCAG
rnacentral:rRNA from 1 species